rnacentral:lncRNA from 1 species
AGUUUCUGAGAUACGGCGCGACAUGUGAACCCCCAGCCCCUUUUUGUCAUAAACUCAAUAACUCUAAAAUCAAAUUCUGAAUCAUUCUCAAAAGUAUAUACAAAUUCUUCAGAAUUAUAUAACUAAGAAGUGUGUAAAGUUUUGAGCAAUAGUCAUAAAACGUUUUCUAGAUACAGCGCGAACUGUAAAAAAAACUGUUCUAGUUACAAAGUCCUGUAACUCAUAAAGUUCACCAAAAAUGAUACAGAUCGUUUGACCAUCAUGACUGAAAAAACAACCAUGUUCAGUUUAAUGAUAAUAUGCUGUACCAUAUUUACGACGGACAGACGGACGCGGGCAUUUUUAUACCAUUUUACGUCUCGUCAAAAUUUUUUACGGGUGUAUAAACAUAUUGUUUGCUAUUGCCUUUUGUUAGAUAAACUACGUGCAACGUGGAGGAAAUAGAAACUUUGUUCUUUUAUAAAAGUUGUAUCAUUGUUUGUAUUAGCGGCAUACCAUUAUUUUUUUUACUUAAAUAAAUUGAAUAAAUUGUUCAGAAAGGAAAUUGACUUCUUCGUGUACAUACAUUUUCGGUAUUAGUUUUAAAAUAUCAUUGGUUUUCUGUGCUGUAAUAAAAAAUCGGAUCCGGAC